rnacentral:rRNA from 1 species
AACGAACGCUGGCGGCAUGCCUAACACAUGCAAGUCGAACGAGACCUUCGGGUCUAGUGGCGCACGGCUGCGUAACGCGUGGGAACCUGCCUUUAGGUUCGGAAUAACUCAGAGAAAUUUGAGCUAAUACCGGAUGAUGUCUUCGGACCAAAGAUUUAUCGCCUUUAGAUGGGCCCGCGUUGGAUUAGCUAGUUGGUGGGGUAAAGGCCUACCAAGGCGACGAUCCAUAGCUGGUCUGAGAGGAUGAUCAGCCACACUGGGACUGAGACACGGCCCAGACUCCUACGGGAGGCAGCAGUGGGGAAUAUUGGACAAUGGGCGAAAGCCUGAUCCAGCAAUGCCGCGUGAGUGAUGAAGGCCUUAGGGUUGUAAAGCUCUUUUACCCGAGAUGAUAAUGACAGUAUCGGGAGAAUAAGCUCCGGCUAACUCCGUG